ensembl:lncRNA
CACCUUGUUGUUGAAUUGUGCUGUACAAAUAAACUUGCCUUGCCUUAACUCUCUGUGAAUAUCAGACUUCACAGCAGCUGCUUUACAGCAUCCUUCAUUUUGAUUUGGGGAAUGAAACAUGGAGUAACAGAGUUUGUAGCAUCACCUUCAACCUGCUGAGUUUUUGAUGGCGAUAUUGUUUGCAGUUGAUGGAGGACGUCCUGCUGCACUUCCUGCUUCUUCUUACCAAUCAUUGGCAAUCUGCGGGACGCUCAGGUGAGCGUCUCAGGUGAGCCCUGGGCUUCAGAUCACUGAGUGAAGAGAAGACAGGACACAAGCCAGCGUUUCAACUCUUUUACUUUUUCUUCCAGCAGCCGCUCAUACAAAACUAGUCAGUUACAAAGGAUCAAUGUCAUCUGCUCAUUUGGCACUCAGCGUGACCCCUGACCCCGUCCACCCACCCCCACCUGAACUCUCUGCACCCACCAAAGAAUACAAAACAGAAACGUGCUCAUCUUUAAUGGUUUAAAAAAAAAAAAAAAGAGAGAGAAGCCCUUCAGCUCCAUCAAGACUUCAAAUUAAACUUUAACAGCUGAUGAUGAUGAUGAUGAUGAUGAUGAUGAUGAAGGCCAGGAAUCACUGAGGACGCAGAAAUGUAAAAAAAAAAAAAAAAAAAAAAAGAGGAAACAGCAGGAAUGUUAUUAUUAUCUAAACCAGGGGUGUCAAACUCAAAUACACAGUGGGCAAAAAUUCAAAACAGGAACAAAGUCGCGGGCUAACAUUAAUAUUUAUUGAAACAUAUUUAUUCCUCCAGAUAUGAGAAUGAAUCUUUUCUUAUGGACACGUUUUGCUGAAAAACUGAAUAUGGAACAAGCCGAGCUUAAUACUAAACAAUAUAUAUAUUAGCUGUAUAAUACCAGUAGGCCAGCUCUGAUAGUAAUUUGGUAUGGCUUUGCGGGCCAAAUGUAAUUAGGCUGCGGGCCAAAUUUGGCCCACGGGCCAGAGUUUGACACCUAUGAUCUAAACCAAUCACCUAAACCUCCAAAGGCUGCAGUUCCUCCACCGUCCAGCAGAGGCAGCAGACUCCCGUGAUAAAAUGAACACGUCUGCAGCCUGAUACACUGUUGGUCUGUGUGGAUCAUUUCCCUUCAUGACACCUGCAUUUUACGCUCACAUGGUUUGAAUUCGAUUCACUUUUAUUUAUUUAGCACCAAAUCACAACAACAGCCGUCUCAAGUCGCUUUAUAUUGUAAGCUAAAGGUAGUAAUACAGUUAUUAGGGGCGUGGCCUCUUACCUCCAGUAACUCCAGUCAUUGAACUGGACCUGGGUUUGUGCUGCUGGCAGACAUGACAGGGAGAGAGCACUGCAAUCUGUCAAUCACAGGUAGCCCCGCCCUAACCCCUAACCUGCUUCCUGUGACUCUGACGGCACCAUCAUCUCCAAAAUGAUGAUCAGCCAAUCAGGAAAGUGUUAGUGAGCACAGAGACCAGGUGAGUGUCUCAGAUUUUUGAGUUGCCACCCCCUGCUGGACAUUAGACAGAAUGCAGGUUUAAGGAGCUACACCUUUAUUUUACAUCCAGCCUGUGAGCUGCAGUCUGGUUCUAACGCCACCCAACCUCAUUGUUUCUUUGCAGGUGUUCAGGUAGAGGAACUGCAGAGUAACUACACCAACACGUUGGAUGUUUGUGGGCGUGUCCUCAGUUUGUCCCCGCCCUCACAUCUUCUUCAGCAUCUAUCAUACAUACGACCCCCAGAGUGAAUCAUGACAUUACUGAGGCUCAGUGCGAGUACGGCUUUUCUAACAGCGACCCACCAGCGCUCAGCGUCGUUCAGACUGCCUGUGAUCUGAGCACAGUGUGAACACAGCGUGCCGCUGCACUCAGGCUAACCACUGACAGAGCUUAGCAUGGAGAAAAAACACGUGUGUUGAGGAACCAGACAUCUGGACGGCCUGCAGGAGCUACAGCAUCACCGAUCCAACACAGAUGACCUGCAA